rnacentral:rRNA from 1 species
CUACGGGUCGCAGCAGUGGGGAAUUUUGGACAAUGGGGGCAACCCUGAUCCAGCCAUGCCGCGUGAGUGAAGAAGGCCUUCGGGUUGUAAAGCUCUUUCAGCCGGGAAGAAAUCGCAUGGGUUAAUACCCUGUGCGGAUGACGGUACCGGAAUAAGAAGCACCGGCUAACUACGUGCCAGCAGCCGCGGUAAUACGUAGGGUGCGAGCGUUAAUCGGAAUUACUGGGCGUAAAGCGUGCGCAGGCGGAUGCUUAAGUCAGAUGUGAAAUCCCCGGGCUUAACCUGGGAAUUGCAUUUGAAACUGGGUGUCUAGAGUGCGGCAGAGGGGGGUGGAAUUCCACGUGUAGCAGUGAAAUGCGUAGAUAUGUGGAGGAACACCAAUGGCGAAGGCAGCCCCCUGGGAUGACACUGACGCUCAUGCACGAAAGCGUGGGGAGCAAACAGGAUUAGAUACCCCGGUAGUC